CAUGCAGUCGAACGAAGUCUUCGGACUUAGUGGCGCACGGGUGCGUAACGCGUGGGAAUCUGCCCUUGGGUACGGAAUAACUCAGAGAAAUUUGUGCUAAUACCGUAUAAUGACUUCGGUCCAAAGAUUUAUCGCCCAGGGAUGAGCCCGCGUAAGAUUAGCUAGUUGGUGGGGUAAAAGCCUACCAAGGCGACGAUCUUUAGCUGGUCUGAGAGGAUGAUCAGCCACACUGGGACUGAGACACGGCCCAGACUCCUACGGGAGGCAGCAGUGGGGAAUAUUGGACAAUGGGCGAAAGCCUGAUCCAGCAAUGCCGCGUGAGUGAUGAAGGCCCUAGGGUUGUAAAGCUCUUUUACCCGGGAUGAUAAUGACAGUACCGGGAGAAUAAGCUCCGGCUAACUCCGUGCCAGCAGCCCCCGGUAAA
rnacentral:rRNA from 1 species